rnacentral:rRNA from 1 species
GAUUAAUUCGAUGCAACGCGAAGAACCUUACCUGGGCUUGACAUAUACAGGACUGGGCCAGAGAUGGUCUUUCCCUUUGUGGCUUGUAUACAGGUGGUGCAUGGUUGUCGUCAGCUCGUGUCGUGAGAUGUUGGGUUAAGUCCCGCAACGAGCGCAACCCUUGUCUUAUGUUGCCAGCGGUUUUGGCCGGGGACUCAUGAGAGACUGCCGGGGUUAACUCGGAGGAAGGUGGGGAUGACGUCAAAUCAUCAUGCCCCUUAUGUCCAGGGCUUCACACAUGCUACAAUGGUCGGUACAACGCGCUGCGAGCCUGUGAGGGUGAGCGAAUCGCUGAAAGCCGGCCUCAGUUCGGAUUGGGGUCUGCAACUCGACCCCAUGAAGUCGGAGUCGCUAGUAAUCGCAGAUCAGCAACGCUGCGGUGAAUACGUUCCCGGGCCUUGUACACACCGCCCGUCACGUCAUGAAAGUUGGUAACACCCGAAGCCCAUGGCCUAACCCCCUUUUGUGGGGAGGGAGUGGUCGAAGGUGGGAUCGGCGAUUGGGACG